UACGUAGGGUGCGAGCGUUGUCCGGAAUCACUGGGCGUAAAGGGCGCGUAGGUGGCGCGGGCAGUCAACGGUGAAAGUUCGGGGCUCAACCCUGAAUCGGCCGUCGAUACUCCCGGGCUUGAGCACUGUAGAGGCAGAUGGAAUUCCGGGUGUAGCGGUGGAAUGCGUAGAGAUCCGGAAGAACACCGGUGGCGAAGGCGGUCUGCUGGGCAGUAGCUGACACUGAGGCGCGACAGCGUGGGGAGCAAACAGG
rnacentral:rRNA from 1 species